UCAAUGUGAAGACAACAAGGAUGAAGGUCUUUGCAAUGAUCCAUUUCCACUUAAUGAAUAGUAAAUGUAUUUUCUCUUCCUUUUCUUUAUAACAUUUCUUUUCUCUGUCUUAUUUUAUUGUAAGAAUACACUGUAUAAUACAUGUAACACACAAAACAUGUAUUAAUUGACUGUUUAUGUUACUGGCAAGGCUUCUGGUUAACAGUAGGCUACUAGUAGUUAAGUUUGUGGGGAGCCAAAUGUUUAUAUGCUGGCCAGGUGUGGUGG